rnacentral:rRNA from 1 species
UACGUAGGGUGCGAGCGUUGUUCGGAUUCAUUGGGCGUAAAGGGUGUGUAGGUGGCGCGCUAAGUCGGGUGUGAAAUUUCGGAGCUUAACUCCGAAACUGCAUUCGAUACUGCGGUGCUUGAGGACUGGAGAGGAGACUGGAAUUCAUGGUGUAGCAGUGAAAUGCGUAGAGAUCAUGAGGAAGACCAGUGGCGAAGGCGGGUCUCUGGACAGUUCCUGACACUGAGGCACGAAGGCCAGGGGAGCAAACGGG